rnacentral:lncRNA from 1 species
AAGUCUGAGGAUACAAAAUCAAUGUGCAAAAAUCACAAGCAUUCUUAUACACCAGCAAUAGACAAUAUUCUUCAAUUCCUAUACACCAAUAAUAGACAAGAGAGCCAAAUCAUGAAUGAACUCCCAUUCACAAUUGUUACAAAGAGAAUAAAAUACCUAGGAAUACAGCUAAUGAUGGGUGUGAAGAACCUCUUCAAGGAGAACUACAAGCCACUGCUCAAAGAAAUAAGAGAGGACACAAACAAAUGGAAAAAUAUUCCAUGCUCAUGGGUGGGAAGAAUCAGUCUCAUGAAAAUGGCCAUACUGCCCAAAGUAAUUUAUAGAUUCAGUGCUAUUCACAUCAAACUACCAUUGACAUUCUUCACAGAAUUAAAAAAAAAACUACUUUAAAUUUCAUAUGCAACCAAAAAAGAGACUCAAUAGUCAAGACAAUCCUAAGCAAAAAGAACAAAGCUGGAGGCAUCAUGCUAUAUGACUUCAAACUAUACUGCAAGGCCACACUAAUCAAAACAGCAUGGUACUGAUACCAAAACAGACACACAGACCAAUGGAACAGAAUAGAGAUCUCAGAAAUAAGACCACACAUCUACAACCAUCUGAUCUUUGACAAACCUGACAAAAACAAGCAAUAGGGGAAGGAAUACCUAUUUAUUCAUUUAUUUAUUUUGAGACAAAGUCUCACUCUGUCACCAGGCUGGAGUGCAGUGGCAUGAUCUCAGUUCAUUGCAACCUCUGCCUCCCGGAUUCAAGUGAUUCUCCUGCCUCAGUCUCCCGAGUAGCUGGGACUACAGGUUCGAGCCACCACGCCCAGCUAGUUUUUGUAUUUUUAGUAGAGACGGGAUUUCACCAUGUUGGCCAGGAUGGUCUUGAUCUCUUGACCUCAAGAUCCACCCAUAUCAGCCUCCCAAAGUGCUGAGAUUAUAGAUGUGAGCCACCGCACUUGGCCAGGAUUCCCUAUUUAAAUGGUGCUGGGAAAACUGACUAGCCAUAUGCAGAAAACUGAAACUGGACCUCAUCCUUACACCUUAUGCAAAAAUUAACUCAAGAUGGAUUAAAAACUUAAAUGUAAAACCCCAAACCGUAAAAAACCCUAGAAGAAAAUCUAGGAAGUUCCAUUCAGGACAUAGGCAUAGGCAAAGAUUUUAUGAUGAAAUCAUCAAUAGCAAUUGCAACAAAAGCAAAAAUUGACAAAUGGGAUCUAAUUAAACGUAAGCACUUCUGCACAGGGAAAGAAACUAUCAUCAGAGUGAACAAGCAACCUAUAGAAUGGGAGAAUAUUUUUGCCAUCUACCAAUCUGACAAAGGUCUAAUAUCCAGAAUCUACAAGGAACUUAAACAAAUUUACAAGAAAAUAAUAACCCCAUCAAAAUGUGGGCAAAGGCCAUGAACAGACAUUCUGAAAAGAAGACAUUUAUGCGUCCAACAAACAUAUGAAAAAAAAAAAGCUCAACAUCAGUGUUUAUUAGAGAAAUGCAAAUCAAAACCACAAUGAGAUACCAUCUCAUGCCAGUCAGAAUGGCAAUUAUUAAAAAGUCAAGAAACAACAGAUGCUAGAGAGGCUAUGGAGAAACAGGAACACUUUUAUACUGUUGGGAACGUAAACUAGUUCAACCAUUGUGGAAGACAGUGUGGCAAUUCCUGAAGGAUCUAGAAGCAGAAAUACCAUUUGACCCAGCAAUCCCAUUACUAGGUUUAUAUCCAAAGAAAUCUAAAUCAUUCUAUUUUAAAGAUACAUGCACACUUAUGUUUAUUGCAGCACUAUUCACAAUAGCAAAGACAUGGCAUCAACCCAAAUUUCUAUCAAUGAUAGAUUGGAUAAAGAAAAUGUGAUACAUAUGCACCAUGGAAUACUAUGCAGCCAUAAAAAGGAAUGAGAUCCUGUCUUUUGCAGGGACAUGGAUGAAGCUGGAAGCCAUAAACUUCAGCCAAUUAACACAGGAACAGGAAACCAAACACCACAUGUUCUCAUAAGUGGGAACUGAACAAUGAGAACACAUGGACACGGAGGGGCAGAACACACACCGGAGCCUGUUGGGAAGGUAGGGGGAAGGAGAGCAUCAAGAUAAAUAGCUAAUGCAUGUGGGGCUUAAUACCUAGGUGAUAGGUUGAUAGGUGCAGCAAACCACCAUGGCACAUGUUUAACUAUGUAACAAACCUGCACAUCCUGUACAUGUAUCCUGGAACUUAAAAUAAAAUAGAAAAGACAAAGAAGGAUAUUACAUAAUGGCAAAGGCUUCAAUUCAACAAGAAGACCUAACUAUCCUAAAUAUAUAUUCAUCCAACACAGGAGCACCCAGAUUCAUAAGUAAAGUUCUUAGAGACCUACAAAGUAUGUUUCACAGUAAUAGUGGGAGACUUUCACACUCCAAUGACAGUAUUAGAUCAUUGAGGCAAAAAAAUGAACAAAGAUAUUCAGGACCUGAACUCAACAUUGGAUCAAAUGGAUCUGAUAGACCUUUACAGAACUCUGCACUCAAAAACAACAGAAUAUGCAUUCCUCACAUCAUCAUAUGCCACAUACUCUAAAAUCAACCACAUAAUUGGACAUAAAGCAAUCCUCAGCAAAUGCAAAACAACUGAACUCAUACCAAAUACACACUGAGAUCACAGUGCAGUAAAAAUAGAAGACUAAGAAAAUUGCUGAAAAUCAUGCAAUUACAUGGAAAUCAAUCAACAUGCUCCUGAAUGACUUUUUAAUAAAUAAUGAAAUUAAGGCAGAAAACAAGAAGUUCUUUGAAAAUAAUGAGAACAAAGUUGCAACAUACUAGAGCCUCUGGACAUAGCUAAGGCAAUGUUAGGAGGGAAAUUUAUAGCACUAAAUCCCACAUCAAAAAGUUAGGAAGAACUCAAAUUAAUAACCUAACAUCACAACGGAAAGAACUAGAGAAGCAAGACAAAACCCCAAAGCUAGAGGAAGACAAGAAAUAACUGAAAAUCCGAGCUGAAUUCAAAGAAACCGAGACAUGAAGAAAAAAAAAUUCAAAAGAUCUACGAAUUCAGGUUUCUCCACAGACACUACCCAAAGCAGUCCUUCACUACAGUGGCAGACAGACCUGAAAAUUUUCAUCUGAAGCAGCAGAGUGAACUGCAGAGUCAGAGAUAGAAUCUCACUAUGUUGACCAGGCUGGUCUUGAACUCUUGGCACCCAAGCGAUCCUUUUGCCUGGAAUCCCAAAGUGUCAGAUUUACUGAAGAAUAUUUCAUUGUAAUUACUUUUUAUACUUUAUAGGUCAAGAGCUCUGUUUUAAAGACAAAAUUUAUUGAAUAUACUUUUUCAAACAAAGUUUCAUGUUCUAAUCAUUGUCUGAUUUCAGCAUUA